rnacentral:rRNA from 1 species
UUUUCACACGGUCUUUUGUCUUUCGUUUAUGUGGAAAGCACCGCGAAACGAGAUAAGAUGUGUGAAUUGCAAAACACAGAGACUUCGAGUCUCUUUGAGCGUCUCUCGCGCCCUGGGGUUUCGAGGAGAACACGCGUUUUUGAGUCUCUUUAAUUUCUC